GAUGAACGCUAGCUACAGGCUUAACACAUGCAAGUCGAGCGACCGGCGCACGGGUGAGUAACAUGUAUCCAACCUGCCCUUCACCCGGGGAUAGCCCUUCGAAAUAAAGAUUAAUACCUGAUAUAAAGGGUGGGGAUGCGUUCCAGUAGGUGGUUGGUGAGGUAACAGCCAACCAAGGCUUCGAUGGAUAGGGGGUCUGAGAGGAAGGCCCCCCACAUUGGAGCUAAGACACGGUCCAAACUCGUACGAGGCGCAGGAGUAGGGAAUAUUGUUGAAUGAACGUUAGCCUGAACCAGCCACGUAGCGUGAGAAAUGCGGGGUUAUGGGUCGUAUACUUCUUUUAUAUAAGAAUAGGUAUUAUAUGAAUAAGGAUCGGCUAACUCCGUGCCAGCAGCCGCGGUAAUAC
rnacentral:rRNA from 1 species